GCCCGGCGGCGCAUGCUCAGUAGUGAGCAGGUUCAGUGUUCUAGUAGGAAGCUCCAGCGCUACACCGGCGUCGGCGGCGGCCGCGGCGGCAGCUCGGGGCAGCCAGAUUCCCCAACAACGACCUCGGGCUCGUCCCCUCCCCCGCUAGACCCCAGCCGCAGCCCCGCCGCGCCGGGAGGGUCUGGCGUUCGGGAGUCUGCUGGGCAGAGCGGGCGCCGCGGUCGGAGCGUCCCUCCACACGCCCUCCCCCAGCCGCCCGCUCCUCGGCGGGCCAGGCCGGGCCCGGGAGCGCGGCCCCGGCAGGCGGGCGGCGUCCGCGGCGGAGGGCAGCCCGGGGCGGCGCCGGCGGGCCGGG
rnacentral:lncRNA from 1 species